rnacentral:ncRNA from 1 species
GGCUUAAUUUGACUCAACACGGGAAAACUCACCCGGUCCGGACACCAUUAGGACUGACAGAUUGAAAGCUCUUUCUCGGUGGUGCAUGGCCGUUCUUAGUUGGUGGAGUGAUUUGUCUGGUUUAUUCCGAUAACGAGCGAGACUCUAGCCUGCCAGGUGUUAGCUCAAUCGGUUAACUUUGAAUGGGUUAACCGUCACGCGACAUACAUACGCACAUACGGAAUCUGGUGAAUGUUAUUAGUAAUGAUUCGGUGAUAAAAAAGAACACUUGAUGCAC